GUGGUGAAUAUCUUGCACAUAAGGGCAUCGUUGUUCUGAUAAAGAACCAUCCCACUUCGGUAGUACUUCAAAUGUCUCUCUGAGUCUCCAUCUCCUUUGAAAUAUGUGAAAUGUGGCAUUCUAAACUUGCAUGGAGGCUCUGCCUACUCGAUCUCAUCCUUGAAGGGUGACCUGCUCAUGUUGGUCAUGUCCCGUCAUAGCGCUUCAUAGGUGAUUUCGUUGCGUUGGAAAUCAUGCAAUCGCUUAUUUAAGAGCCUCUUCAUUUCUUCCUGAAUUUUCCUUUGUUAGGGUAGCGGAGCUCUCGAUUGCCCCAGGUCUUGACCUGCUGAUCUAGGCUAUUCUUCUACAUUCUCUACUCGUCGAUGCCGCGAGUAGUGCAUGUGGUUCAUUCCUAGCAGGCAAGGGAAUUCUUCGUAGGUUGCUGGUUGAACUUGGGCUGGAUUGAAUGA
rnacentral:lncRNA from 1 species